AGCGAACGCUGGCGGCAGGCCUAACACAUGCAAGUCGAGCGGCCGUAGCAAUACGGCAGCGGCAGACGGGAGAGUAACACGUGGGAACGCGCCCUUCGGUUCGGAAUAACUCAGGGAAACUUGAGCUAAUACCGGAUACGCCCUUACGGGGAAAGAUUUAUUGCCGAAGGAACGGCCCGCGUCCGAUUAGCUUGUUGGUGAGGUAACGGCUCACCAAGGCGACGAUCGGUAGCUGGUCUGAGAGGAUGACCAGCCUCACUGGGACUGAGACACGGCCCAGACUCCUACGGGAGGCAGCAGUGGGGAAUAUUGGACAAUGGGCGCAAGCCUGAUCCAGCCAUGCCGCGUGGGUGAUGAAGGCCCUAGGGUUGUAAAGCCCUUUCAGCGGGGAAGAUAAUGACGGUACCCGCAGAAGAAGCCCCGGCUAACUUCGUGCCAGCCGCCGGGUAAGAC
rnacentral:rRNA from 1 species